rnacentral:misc_RNA from 1 species
UGAUUUUCUUGACCCCCAUCAUGAUUAUUAUUACUAUUUCUCCACAAUCUUGAAAGAUUAUUUCCAUCAUUUCUUCCUUGACUACUAACAUUAUUAUUACUAUUAUUCCCUCCUUGAAAUCCACUGAUCAGAUUUGCACUCACUUGUUGCUCAUGACUUAUUCCAAGUUCAUCUAACGAAGGAACAUUCAUCGUAUUACUGCUUCCGCCUCCUGAAGACUUUGUGUUGAAAAUGGUUGAUCCAGUAUUGAAUGAAAGAAUUUGAUUCUGCAUGUUGAACAAGUUUUGCGCUUGUUUUUGUAUUCCAACAUGAUUUGAAUUACCUAACUGGAAAUUUGUUGAAGUAGAGGUAGAGCCCGAGGUAGUACCAACCAUAGAGUUGUUAUUUCCAGGCAUUAAAGCAUCAAUCAUGCUAGAACUCAACGAAGAUGCAGGAGGAGAUGAUAAUUGUGACAUAAAUGGAGAUACUUGAACCUUUUGUGCUGAUGGCCUUAAAGGGUAUAAUGGUCCAAGUGAAUCCAAAUGUCCCGUCCUCAUCCCCGAUCCAGCUGUCGAAAACAGAUCAAGACGGCGAGUAUAGGGUGAACCAGUGAACGGAGCCGUAGGGAUUCCGGUGAAUUCCUGAACCAUUUGUCGAAAAUUCGUCGUGUCUGUAGUUAGCACGGUGGUUGGCGCUCUCCGUGAGGCUCUUGUGCGUUUCUUCGGGUUCUUCGCUACAUUGGGCUGUUGAUCGGGCUGGGCCGAGCUUGAGGCCCGUGCAACAUUCGUUGGUUCCAUGGAUGGUUGUUGCAUUGCUUGUAACGAACUUGAACCCGGAAAAGGGUUUUGAUUAGGAUGAUGAAAG